UACAGAGGGUGCUAGCGUUGUUCGGAAUCACUGGGCGUAAAGCGCACGUAGGCGGAUGUGUCAGUCAGGGGUGAAAUCCCGGAGCUCAACUUCGGAACUGCCUUUGAUACAGCACGUCUUGAGUCCGAUAGAGGUGGGUGGAAUUCCUAGUGUAGAGGUGAAAUUUGUAGAUAUUAGGAAGAACACCGGUGGCGAAGGCGGCCCACUGGAUCGGUACUGACGCUGAGGUGCGAAAGCGUGGGGAGCAAACAGG
rnacentral:rRNA from 1 species